CCUACGGGUGGCUGCAGUCGAGAAUCUUUCACAAUGGGGGCAACCCUGAUGGAGCGACGCCGCGUGGAGGAUAAGGUCUUCGGAUUGUAAACUCCUGUCAUGUGUGAACAAGGUUGCAGGGUUAAUACCUUUGCAAAUUGAUGGUAACACAAGAGGAAGAGACGGCUAACUCUGUGCCAGCAGCCGCGGUAAUACAGAGGUCUCAAGCGUUGUUCGGAAUCGCUGGGCGUAGAGGGUGCGAAGGUGGCGUGAAAGCCCGGGGCUCAACCUCGGAACAGCAUCCGAUACUGCCGUGCUAGAGUACUGAAGAGGUGACUAGAAUUCUCGGUGUAGCAGUGAAAUGCGUAGAUAUCGAGAGGAAUACCAAAGGCGAAGGCAGGUCACUGGGCAGUUACUGACACUGAGGCACGAAGGCCAGGGGAGCAAACGGGAUUAGAUACCCCUGUAGUC
rnacentral:rRNA from 1 species